UUAUCACAAAGUGUGUAAAUUGAACGAUACUCAGGAAGUGGAAAAUGUAAACAAACGUGAGAACUGACAGGUGAAUAAAAUUUCUUACACAACACGUGCAGUUACCACUAACAAGGAAAUCAGCUUGACGCCUAGUGCUCCUUCUUCGGCAGGCGUUGGUAACAUUACCACAAACUGACCUUUGCACCACAAGAAACGCUAAUGAAUGGUGAAAAGUGAGUGCACAAUCAGAGAGUUUUUAUGUGAGUUCAGAGAUAAAACCAAAGUCAGAGAUCAUGUAUGUGUGGCAGGUGGUCAACGUUAUCAUGGCUGCCUUCUUCAUCUUGGCAGCCAUUGCAAAUAUGAAUGAUGAUGACUGGUACUUGUGGGUUGUAAGUAUGUUUGUGUUCACUUUGUUACACUAUCACACGGUUCACCUUACCUUAAGUAGUGCUUUCACACUAUCACACGGUUGAUCUUGUCUUAAGUAGUGCUUUCACACUAUCACAUGGUUGACCUUAUCUUAAGUAGAGCUAUCACAUGGUUGACCUUAUCUUAAGUAGUGCUUUCACACUAUCACACAGUUGAU
rnacentral:lncRNA from 1 species